AACGAACGCUGGCGGCAGGCUUAACACAUGCAAGUCGAGCGCCCCGCAAGGGGAGCGGCAGACGGGUGAGUAACGCGUGGGAAUCUACUCAUCUCUACUGAAUAACGCAUGGAAACGCGUGCUAAUACCGUAUACGUCCUUCUGGAGAAAGAUUUAUCGGAGAUGGAUGAGCCCGCGUUGGAUUAGCUAGUUGGUGGGGUAAAGGCCUACCAAGGCGACGAUCCAUAGCUGGUCUGAGAGGAUGAUCAGCCACACUGGGACUGAGACACGGCACAGACUCCUACGGGAGGCAGCAGUGGGGAAUAUUGGACAAUGGGCGCAAGCCUGAUCCAGCCAUGCCGCGUGAGUGAUGAAGGCCCUAGGGUUGUAAAGCUCUUUCACCGGUGGAGAUAAUGACGGUAACCGGAGAAGAAGCCCCGGCUAACUUCGUGCCAGCCGCCGCGGUAAAAC
rnacentral:rRNA from 1 species